UCAUUAGUCGGUGUUUUCAUCCACUUUACAACCAAGGGAUGAAAUCUUUCUUCGAGCAUGGGGGGAGGUGGGGUGUGAUCUUGCCGAUGAAAUUUUUGAACCACCUUUGUAUCGAGGUUUGAUCUACUAUGUGAGAUUGGGACAAGCAACCUCUAUUUGGAAGGAGAGACUGAAGUUGUUAUUACCACUUCUAUUGGAGGGGGGAGGCUUUCUCUAGAUUUGAAAGCAUAUUUUGUUGGCCUAGCAACAGCGAGCUCCUCUUGAAAAGAUGAUCCAGAUUAGCACAAUCUUAUGGAACCCAUGUCCCUAGGUACAUCAAGCCACCAUUAUUCAAUAACCCUCCAACUCUAUAGAGGAUCAUGAGAUUAACGAUUUCGUACGAAUUGUAACUCCAGUUGACAAUGGCGACCAUCAUUUCCAAAUAGAAGCAACACUUGUUUGUUGUGCAAUACAGGCCAGAUAGCAUGGCAAAAUUUUUUUUCCUAUGUCAAGAAAAUUUCCAAUGUGUCAUCCCUCACAAUAGAAACCACAAAGUAGCAUGUUACAUAUUCGACAUGGAGCCCCAAUUUUCAAGCAUUCUAAAGCCUCUCAAACUCCAAACAGGACUAAAAGGUAGAAUGGCCACUAGUGAGAUCCAACAUCUAAAGAACAGAUCGGUUAGUUGCCUGUACCGCCUUCUCUUCGGGAAAUUCAAGUUCGAUAUCCAUCUGUUUCCACUAUUCUCGGUUCACAAAUUCAAACAUGUCGACACAAAAUGCUAUCAUGCUCUAUUGUUUUGUGUGUGUGUAUGUGUGUAUGUAUCAUCGUCUGUUUGUGACUACGUUUUUCUAGAGGUCUAUCUUUGUUUCUAACCUCUUUCCCUUGCUUUCCUCUCUCCCUCUGCUUCGAGUCAAUUUUUUUGUACAAUUUUAACUCUUUAUAUUUCUCAUUUUUAUUGAGAACUACAACCUUAUAUCACUUUUUUUCUUGUUUCUUUCCCCUAUGGGAUUCUAACCUUGAAUUCUCUAUCUCUGCAUGUUAUUAUAAGAUUAACAGAAAUGAGUGAUAAGCCUAGAGGCCGAAACCAUCCACCUAUACAAGCGAAUUGGUGGUUGGUUCUAAGUUUAGGCGGAUAGUUUUGGGUCUCAUGCUUAUUUUGUCAUUCAUUUUUGUUGAUCUUACAAUAACAUGCAGAGACAGAGAAUUCAAGGUUUAGAGUCCCAUAGGGGAAAGAAACAAGAAAAGAAGUGAGAUAAGGUUGUAGUUCUCAAUAAAAAUGAAAAAUCUAGAGAGAGAGUUAAAAUUAUAUAAAAAAUUGACUGAACCAGAGGGAAAGAGAAAAGUAAGGGACAGAUGUUAGAAAGAAUGAUAGACAUCUAGAAAGAUAAACACAAUCACAAACAGACGAUGACACAAACAUGCGCGCAAGAGAGAGAAAGAGAGUUUGUGUUGUUAUCAACCUUUUGCAUAAUUUAUUGACAAUGUAUAUGCAAUACUAGAGUCAGUUGAAUGUUAAAUCAAUUGCAUUCUUUUUUA